AACGAACGCUGGCGGCAUGCCUAACACAUGCAAGUCGAACGAGACCUUCGGGUCUAGUGGCGCACGGGUGCGUAACGCGUGGGAACCUGCCCUUAGGUUCGGAAUAACUCCCCGAAAGGGGUGCUAAUACCGGAUAAUGUCUUCGGACCAAAGAUUUAUCGCCUUUGGAUGGGCCCGCGUUGGAUUAGCUAGUUGGUAGGGUAAAAGCCUACCAAGGCGACGAUCCAUAGCUGGUCUGAGAGGAUGAUCAGCGACACUGGGACUGAGACACGGCCCAGACUCCUACGGGAGGCAGCAGUGGGUAAUAUUGGACAGUGGGCGAAAGCCUGAUCCAGCAAUGACGCGUGAGUGAUGAAGGCCUUAGGGUUGUAAAGCUCUUUUACCCGGGAUGAUAAUGACAGUACCGGGAGGAUAAGCUCCGGCUAACUCCGUG
rnacentral:rRNA from 1 species